UGAUGAAAAUGAUGAAUUUCAAUUGUGUUUCAAUGAGCAAAUGUCCAUUUCACAUGAUAAUAUCUUUGGAACUAACUUUGAACCUCAAGAGGUAAGUUUUAAUGACUCAUUUUUCACCCCUCUUGAGGAGUGUAUAAAAAGUACAGGUUUUAAAGAUAUUCCUGCCCAAGAUACUUUCAUAACAUUUCCUUUGGUAAGUUCUCAAGUGGUGCAUAUUCAAGGUAAUAUCUAUGAAACACUUGGAAUAUGUGAGUCACUUCCAUUUCUCACAUCAUUAGAACAUGUGGCUUUCGCGAUAAAGCCACCUUUUAAUGAUCCACCACGGCCUAAAAUGGUGGAUUAUUCGUUAACUAAGGCUCCUUGAAAAAAAAGGUGAAAUAGUCAAGCUAUUGACUUUAAAGAAGCGCUUAUUGGGAGGCAACCCAAUGUUUGUUUAAGUUCAUGUUACUUUGGAGUGAUUUUAUGUUUAAAGUAUGAGUUUGAGUUAUUUUGUUAUUUUUCAUUUGUAGGUUUUGGAAAUGAAAGCAAAAGUGACCAAAUGAGGUGAAAAAGGCGAAAUUUGAUCAAGGAACUCAACCCCUCGAUUUGAGUAAUUGUUGUUUUUGAUUCGUUACAAGGGGUUAAAAUGCAUAUUUUGAUCAUUUUACAUGUGCAUGUAUUGAGUAUUUUAGCAAAGGAAUGAUCUAUGAUGCAUUUUGAGUAAUUAGGGUACCUUUUGUAAUUUUGCAAAAGUUGAAUUUCUGCUAAAAUUUGCAGCAGAAAACGUGUUUUUCAAAGAAAACGCACCACAAAGUCGCGUAUUCAGCUAAUCGCGUUUUCAAUUCUGCGCCUGCAGAAAAGAAAACGCGCCUUAAAAACGCGACUAUAAGGCGCGUUUUUAAGAAUACUCGCGUUUUACAGCCUGAUCAAAAAUAAAAAACGCGCCUUCAAAUACGCGACUCCAAGUCGCGUUUUAUAACACAGUCGCGUUUUGGAUCCUGCAAGAUAUGUGAAGAAACGCGACUUCACAAAACGCGGCUUGGUGGCGCGUUUUCAUGAGUCGCGUUUUCGGAGCAAAAAAAAAAAAUGCAGAUUCCUUGAUUAUCUUUUUUCUUCUUUUCCUC
rnacentral:lncRNA from 1 species